rnacentral:lncRNA from 1 species
CAACUUCCUUCAAGCUCUCUUUCAACUGGGCUUCUUCGUCCUUCAAAGUACAAGCUUCUUCAUUUGAUUUUGUGAGCAAACUUUGCAGCCUGUUAAUUUCUUUUUCCUUCAAAGAGUUUUCUUCUUCUGAAUGUUUCACACAAUUCGCCAGGUGAAGUUCUCUCUUCUCCCAGUCGGCCUUUGCGUAUUGGAACUCAGUCUUGCAUUGUUCAAGGUUACUUGUAACAAGAUAGACUUCAUGUUUUGCAUCAUCAAGCAUGCCUUCAUACUUUUCGUUGGUUGCUUUCAAGACCAUUUUCAGGUCUUCUAUCUGCGACUCAUUGCGCUCAAGCUCAGCUUGAUUAGACAGCAGCUUUUCUUUGGCUUCUCUUGCUUCUGCGGAGACUUCAUGUAAGGCAGAAGCUAAGCUUUCCAUUGCUUUCUUGCUCUUCUCUUCUUCAUCCCUAGAAUUUUCCAACUCAUUUAUGAGUUUGUUUUUCUCUUCUAAUAGGGUUUGAAUACUGGAUGAGGCAAGCUUCUCAUUGCUUAAAGCCUGCAUUUUCUCCUCCUUCAGAGUUUCAAGCUCAAACUUAAGCGACUCAACCAUUUUUGCCAUUUCAUAAUUUUCUUUUUUGGCCAUCUCAAGACAAAGUUCUGACUCCUCAAGAUCCCCUCUAUGUCUUCCAAUUGUAAUUUCCAGCAAGCUGACCUUCCCUUUAAGAGCAGAAAUUUCAGAUUCUGCAUCCUGCAACAACUCACUGUUUCCCUCGAGUUGUUUCAUGACUGAAUCUAAAGACUCUGAUGCAGACCUCUCCAACUUAUUUGCUUCUUCGACCUGCAUCUCUAAUUCCUCAACCCUAAUUUUCCACUCCUCAACUACACUACGUGCAUAAGAUUCAGCCAUCUUGGCUGAUUCUAGCUCAACGUUGAGCUGUUCAAUGGAAGCCUCUUUCUCUAUCAAUCUCUCCUCGUAACCUUUUGCUUUCUCAAGUUCUUGUUUGAGAAAGUCUACCUCCGAUUUAAGGCUAACCACCAUCUUGUUGCUCUCGCUAGCCUCUGUUUCAAGCUUUGCAUCUAGCAAGGCCCUUAACUGAGUCAACUCAGCUAAAAGAAUCUCCACCUUUAUUGGCAUGGAUCUCGGCAAUCUUGGUUGCAUCAUCAGCAUGAGUCAGUGCCUGGUUUUUGGCAUCGCAGGUCAUGGUCAGUUCUUGCUUCACCCUUUGAAGUUCCUGAGUGGUAGAGAGUAGAGUGGACACAUCCAGAGCAUGUUGGUUCCUCACAGCUUCAAGCUCUUUCACCCAUUCCUCUUCCUUCUUUUGGGAUGCUUCGAUUCCUGCCUGCUCCAACUCAACAGCACGAAACUUCUCAAUUUCAGAAUUGUCCUCGGCUCUCUUUUGAGCCACCAAAGCCUCUCUGAGUUUCUCAUGUGCCUCAUCGGCCACUUUCUGCGCUUCUUUCAAUUCGUCAAUUGCUUUUGCCUUCUCUUUCUCAAUCAAAAUUAUCUGCUCCUUUGCCUUCUUCAGAUCUUCCUGAACAAGACCUAAUUGAGCCUGUAUCUCUGAUCCCUUUGCAACCCGUGUCGGUUGUUUCUGAAAACAAUAUAAAGCAACAAUGUGGAUCAAAAUACACAAAUAACGACUGGUUCCAUCCCUUACGUUUGCUGUAAUAAGUUCAAGGGAACUAAAUGAAAUGUGUUACCAAAAAUGAAAAAAGAAGACCACAAGUAGGUGUAGUUGGUAAAAGUAAAACUCACUUCAGGGGGAGUGGAGGUGGGGGUAGUGAUCUUGGGUGACCGACGCUCAACGGCAGGCUUGGAUUUGACAGAAAGCGGGGAGCGAUCAACUGAAAGGCGAGAAUUUUGCAAAGGAGAAGGUGAAUCGGAUUCGGAUUUAGCAACUCCCCGGCUGAGUUUACUAACUCGAGGGGGGAGGGGUUGCUGCUGGUGAUGCUUUUUUAGGAGUAUCAGAUACAGUAGAUCUGUUCAAGUAUAUCAACAAGAAGAAACCAUAUUAUUGAACAUCAAACAAAACAACGCCAACAUAAUCGAGCAAAAAAGAGAUGGAUCUGCCACAAAAUUUGGAAAUUUAUGACCAAAGACAAACAAAAACACACGCAGAGACAGACAGAAAAAAAAUGUAAAUGGAAAUAAUAUGUGAAAGUGUGGCAUAAGUUGUUCAGCACCAGAUCCAAAAAUAAGUAAGCCAAGUGCAGAAAGAACCAACCAAUUUAGAACCAACGAAAGUAAAAGGUUGAAAAUUGGAGCAAAUAUCAGAGUAUUUUUGUUGGGUUACAAGCAAAUAUUAGAUUUUGAGUUGAAGAGAAGACAAGGGAAAAAAGAUGCAGUGGUAGUGGAGUUGAUAAAAGCAGAUCCGUGUCGAGCACUAAUCGGGAAAUGGAGAAGAAAAAUCCCAAAUUGAAAAGGACAUACAUCAAAUCCGAGAACACCAAAUAAAAAUCAGAUCUUCAUCUCAGUCUCACACAGAGAGAGAAUUAAGAGAGAGAAUUAAGAGAGAGAAAGAGAAAGAAAGAGUAGACUUACUUGGACUUGGAAGACAUGGCGGUGGUAAUGGAAGAAGAACGGGAAAGUGGGGGAGGAAGAGGAGUGGAGCACUGGGAUUGAUUGGAAAUGGGGGUUAAAGACGGUGUUGGGAUUGUGCUGUCUAAUUAAUUAUUAUGCUCUCUCAGUCUCUCUCUCUCUCUCUCUCUCUCUCUCCCCCUCCCUCUCUGUGUGUGUAAUUUGCAAAUUUUUCAUGGCGGAUAACAUGUUGCUAUAUUUUCCUUUUUGGUGAAAAAUAAAGCAAAUAAAAAAGGGGCAUAAAGGAGAUGAACCACGCAGAGACAACAGAAGUUGGACUUGGACGGUUGGACUGACUAGACGUGACGUGGAACCGAAAUGAGGAGGAACUUACACAAGGAAGGAAAGGGAUCCUCUCCGGAUCCCUUCCAUCGUAUUUGGGUCGGUUCUCUCAACAGUACUGGGCCCUGGCCACACACACAAACACUGCACAACUCAGCUUCCACUUUAUACUUUGUACUACUCUCUCACUUUGUUUCUUUUUCCUUCAUCGCUUGCCAUGCUUUUCAGUAAAACAGAAUGCCAGUCCUGAGACCUCCUUAUUUGUAACUGAAUUUAGUUAGUCAUAUUAUUAUUAGCCAAACCAAAACAACUGAAAUUUAUCAGAGAAUUAGUGCUUCUUUUUUCCUUGCCUAAAAAAGUAUGCCGCUCUUCUGUAUAAUAGCCAAAAUAAGAGUAAUAUGAAUUCACGGCCAAAGACGUACAAAUAAAAACUGGAUGGAACACUUUCAGGUCGUACCCAGUGCACAAGGCUCCCGCUUUACGCAGGGAUUGAACACUUUCACCUUUACUUUUUCUUUCCCUUUUUUUAGUCUUUCUUUAUUUUCCUAAAAUUAAAUGACAUUUUUGCUUACAAAGAAUUAAGUAUUAAAAAAACAACUAUCAUUCUGAUUACUGUGUUAACAACAACUAAGAAAUAGAAAAGUAUGUGAAGUCCAAUAGGAUUUGGGUAUGACGCAAUACUUAAAAAAUAAAGAUAUCUAAUUAACAUAGAGGCAUUCUUUAUCUUUAUCCCCUUUUUUUUCAUUCUUCAUUCCUUCUCUUGCAUGUUUCUUCUUAUUUACAUAGUAAACAUUCGGGAAUCCCAUAUCAUGUGAGUACACAUUCUCAAAUUGUUGAUUGGAAUACUGCCUCCCAAAGUUGACCUAUUAAAAGAAUUAUUAUCCGGGAAUAAUUGAGAAGGUAAUAUAUAUAUAUAUAUAUGUGUGUGUGUGUGUGUGUGUGUGUGGUUGAGAGCUUAGGGUUUAAAGAGAUUUUUGUGCCUACGGAAAUAUAUGUUAGGUUGUGUAUUAGUUCAAGUGCAUCAAAAAAUUGCUAGCAUCGUUGAAAAGAAAAAUUGCUAGUACCAAACUCAAUGAGUACGAAUGUUUUAUUCAAAAUAUAUAGGACAAAUCAACUCAAAAAGGAAUGGGUUUUAUUGAGAAUUUCGUAAUUUACAUGGACGUUGAUUUGGAUAUAUACUCAAACUACAUCAUUUAUUAAUGCAAGUGUCAACAUAUUUAGGUUGAAUUAAGAGAUAAUGGUUAGGAUAUGUUUUAAUUACUUGAAUGUUGAGACAAUAUCAUUUUGAAUGUUGAGACAAUAUCAUUUUAAGAGUGAGCUUCUUCUAGUAUCUUUACUCAUUAAUUCAGCCAUACGAAAUUUCCUCAACGUCGCACACCAGCGAUAGUGUGCCAAUUACUUGCAGUGCUUUACAGUUUACAUGGAUGAUGGAGUAAACAAAAAAAGGUAGGGAUAAAGGAAACACCUUUUGGGUUUUGUAAGGUGGGAAGCCGACUAGCAAACCGACCAACAAAACGUUCAUUUUUCCUUGUAGUUGAGGCAAAUUACUUUAGAUUGGAAAUGAAGCAAUUAUGAUUAGGUUGUAUUAGUUGGGUGAAAGUUGACAUUUUCACUUGAAAAAUGCCAAGAAGACUCUUUUAAAAUGAGAUUCUUCAUGAAUCUUUUGUCAUUUUACAGUUUAACGUAAAAUAUCAUCAUAACAUUAUGGUUGUAACAACUCACAUCGAUCAACAAAGAGUGGGUGAUGUGCUUUAUAUGUACAUGCUCUCCUCCUUAUAGCACGAGGCCUUUUAGGAACUCACUGGUUUCGGGUUCCGUCAGAACUCCGAAGUUAAGCGAGUUCAGGCAAGAAUGGUCCCAUAAUAGGUGACCUACUGGGAAGUUCUCGUAUGAGUCCAAAGCGGACAAUAUAGUGCUACGGCCGAGUCGAGACUGAGAUGUGAUAGAAUGGUAUCAGAGCCACUCUACAAUUCGGUACGGAUGUGCUGACGAGAACGUUGGGUUCCCCUGAAGUGGGGUGGAUUGUAAGAUCUCACAUCAACCAACGAAGAGAGGGUGAUGUGGAUUGUAAGAUCUCACAUCAACAUAUGGAUAGGAGGUGAUAUGUCUUAUAUGUACAUGCUCCCCUCCCUAUAGCACAAGGCAUUUUGGAAACUCACUGGUUUCGGAUUCUAUCGGAACUCCGAAGUUAAGCGAGUUCGAACGAGAGCAUUCACAGGAUGGGUGAUCCACUGGGAAGUUCUCGUGUGAGUUUUCAGAAGAAAAAAAAUCAUGAGGACGUGGCCGAAACUUAAAACAGAUAAUAUCGUGUUACGGCGGAACCGGAACUGAUAUGUGACAUGAGACUGGGAUGUGGCAAUGGUUUGGGAGUUAGUAGAAAGGUUGAAAACAUGUACACAAAUAAUUAUAAUAUUAAUAAAUUAGUUAAAACUUGCUCGAUUUAGUUACUCUUAGAUGUGCAUGCAUGCAUGCCUUCCAUUUUAGAUGUCGAGCGCACACAUAUGUAUAUAUGUAGUUAGUUUGAUCGAUGUAGGUACUAUUGUAUGUGUAAAAGUAAAAGGUAAAAAACAAAACCUAGGACAUGUUAUGAUUUGAAGAAAGAUAACAAUUGUAAAGAUAAGAUAUAAUAUAGCUUUUUUUCCAUGCAUGCAUAUUGCCUGGUAGACUAGUCACUAGAGUAAAGAAUUUCACUUCAUACUAUUUAGUCACUAGAGUAAAGAAUUUCACUUCAUACUAUUUCUAUUACAAGUAAAAUAUAUAAUAUAAUGAAAUGGCGAAACGUUGUAUUAGUUGGAAAAUUAAGUAACAAUUUAACCUAGCUACCAAGCUAGUGUCAAAUACCAGCUUCUUGUAUGUGUAAUGUGUAUGCCUUCCUUCCUUCGUCUAUAUAUAUAUUAAUAAAGAUACGAGUAGUAUUAUUUCUUGUAGAUUGAUUAGAAUAACAUGGUGGAUUGAGCUAGCGUGAAAUAUGUACAACUAGUAAACCGCUAAUAAGGAAUUGAAGAAGGUACUGGUAGGCAAUGUUAUGUGGAUCAUAUGUGGAUCGGAGUCGGGGUCGGAUCUUAAUCAUUUGUAAGAAAAGAGAAUGGAAAAUUGCAAGGGGUCGUCAUUUAAUUAACGGAUGAAGUGGGAGGGACAAUCAUGAUCAUGAAUAAUCAAUAAUUCAUGCUUUGCUUCCUCUCUCUCGAACUCGAUCGAUAAAAUCAUAUCAUAAUUCAAUUUUCCCUAUGCCGUAUGCCCAGCCAGCCUAUUAGAGCAUCUUUAAAGGAAAUGUUAAAAUGUACACAUCAUCUAUAACAGUAAAAAGAUCACACUAAUAUUCUCUAACCGAAGUGUCAAAUCCUAUAUGACGAUGACAUGGAUUGACAACAAAAGAGGUUGCUGUCAAAUUUGACAGCAGCUUCAAAUGUUUUUUUUUAUUAAUUAUUAAAUGUAUUUUAUUAAAUUUUAAUUAGUUUAAUAAUUUAUUAUAAUUAAUGCUGAGUUGAUCGAUGUAUUCUUAUUUUUUUCUUCUUUUCAAUCAAUGAAGCUGAACAGAUUACUUAUUAAACUUUAAACGUCUUUUAUUAAAUUUUAAUUAGUUUAAUAAUUUAUUUUAUAAAAUAAUAAAAUAAUAAUUUAAUUUGACAUAUCGGUUGAAAAAUAAAACUUUAAAAUAUGUAAAAGUACCAUAUAAGUUGUCAAAAUUUAAAUUUUAUGUUUAAAAUUUGACAUAUCUUUUAGAGAUAAUCUUAAGCUACAAUUAAUUAUAUACAAUACUAUAUAAUUAAUUGGAUGCCAUCCGCUCCACUCCACAUCCACAUGACAAUGAAUGGGUCAUCACCACGGUGUUUUAUUUUGUUUUUUUAAUUUUAACAAGAGGGAGGGAGUUUGACGAAGGGAUAUCUCUGGAGGAUUUGAAUGCCAUCCGAACUCAAAUUUUGAGGAUCCUAGGCCUCUUUACAUUUUAACCAUUUAUCGUAUAUUAUACGAUAAAAAAUAAUUUGAAUUCAAUUAUUUAAAAUUAAACACAAAUAGUAACUAACGAAAAUUGACCGUACGAUAUAUAAUAAAUGAUUAGGAUGUGAAGAUCUCUGAGAUCACUAUAAAGAGGAUCCGAAAAGAAUCAUCAUCCUUCUCUGGAGGGUUGAAGGUGGGGCCGCAGGCAGGACAAGGAAGGAAGAAAGGCGUUAAAAUAUCGGCAUCCUCCUACUAUAUGCCAUGUUUCAUGUUUCAAAUAUGUUUCAUGAUUUAUGUUUCCAACAAACCAAUCAUUCACCUCACAACUCAGACAAUGAAAGGGAAAUUAAAAGAGAGCAAAUUCAUACCUCUAUCCAUGCUAUACUCCUCUCUCUCUCUCUCUCUCUCUCUCUCUCUCUGGGAAGAGAAAAGCAUCAAAAAGAAAAAGAGAAGAAAGAAUCCUCUCUGUUUCUAAUAUCUUUCCUUCAGCUUUUUUUUUUUUGGGAAACUAUAUCUUUCCUUGAGUUAUAUAUGUUUUCUUUGGGUGGAAAACGAUGUUUAAUUAAUAUACACUAGCAGAGAGCACAUAUUUUGUGUAUGUGUGAAUAAUUUAUCUUAAGGAAAACUAAUGAAAAUAGCUUGAAAACUUUGAGUUUUAACAAUAUGGACAAAAUAAAAGGUAAAGCGAAUAGUACCAUGAUUGCCUUUUUAGUGUAAAAAUAUGGUUUUUCGUUAAAGUGAACAGUACAUGAAACUUUUUGUUAAAGUUCCAUUUUUCUUAAUAAGUGCAUUUUUUUAUAUUACAUAAUUAUUAUUUUGUCCUCAUUAUGUAAAUAUUGUGUAUCAAAAGUGAGGGUAAAAUUGAAAAAAUAUGAUUGUCAUUAUCUAAAAAAUAGGGAUAUGAUUGUCAUUUAGUCAAAAGGUACAAAAUUACUAUUUUGCCUUCCUCAUGUCAAUAUUGUGUAUUGAAAAGUAAGGGUAAAAUUGAAAAAAAUGGGGAAAAAGUUGACAAUGGCUCUUCUCUUAAUAAAAUAGACUAGCCUUCAUGCACGCACGUGCAUAAGACAUUUUUUGAAUUACGACAUGUUACGUGCGACUUAUACGUUUUAAAUCAUGUUAGAAGAAAAGUCGAAUAUUUGAAGUAACUGAAUAAUCUUAAAUCAUGCUAAAAAAAACCCCUCAUAAACUAAUUAAAUCAACUGAAUUCACAUAAUAAAAUCAGUCUUUAUAGAAUUUACAUUAAAAAUAGAGAAAAUAAUAUUUAAUAAACAAUUGGUUAAAUCACAUUAAUGUUAGCCCAUUGUGAGACAAAGCCCACCCUCUCUCCCUUAGUGGAGAUAAUAUCGUUUGUUAAAAAAAAUCAUUUGACAACUAAUUUAAUCACAUUAUUAUCCGCGUGCGAAAGACUUUUUUAUAACAGGCAUUACAAUUUACAGGUCUCUUAAGAUGUUUUGAAUGUGUUUAAAAUAGAGAGAAUAAUAUUUAAUAAACAACUAAUUGAAUCAUAAUAUUGCUAGCCCAUUAUGAGAUUAAACUCACCUCCUUUCCCUUUAGUAUAUAUAAUAUCGCUUGUUACAAAAAAAAAUCAUUCGACAACUAAUUUAAUCACAUUAUUAUAUGCGUGCAAAUUUAUAACCGGCAUUACAUGCCUUUUAAUAUAUUUUGAACGUGUUGCUAGCCUAUUGUGAGAUACUAAUUUAAAAAAAACACAAAAUCAUUAAUGAUUAAAAAAAAAUACUAUUAAAUUGACAAAAAUACCCUUGCCUUUUUUGAUGCAUAAUUUUGGGAUACCUUUGAAGUUUAUUGUUUUAGGGACAUUUUUGUCCAAUUGAUUUUUUGGUAAAGCAUAAUGACACCAAAACACUAUUCAGCUUUUGUGUUCUCUUUAUAUAUAGUAGAUAGAUAGAUACAUACAUACGUACAUUCACAUAUAUGAAUGAAAUAUUAAUUUUGAGCUGCUCUGUAAAGCUCCAGCUCCAGGCUGACAACCACAACCCAUUUGGCCUUUAAUUUAAAAAAAAAUAAUAGUGCAAUAAGUUAUUCAUUAAAAGGAAUCCAAAAAAGAAACAAGAUCCAAUUACAAUUAGUAAACCUAUCAUACAAACUAAUUACAACGCCAAAACAACUGUGAAUAUAUAUGUCACCCACAUCGACCCACCAUACGAGAAUUAAUAUGGGUCAUGGGUCAUGGGUCUCAUGGGGGUGGAAAAUGGAAUCAAAUCUUCAUGAUAUAUUACCAUUAGUCUUUAUUAGAAAAAUACAAUUCCCCGUCGUCGCGUCUCCUCCUUUAUUUUCUUUACAUAACUUUGUUUUUCUUCUGACUUUAUCCGAAUUGUAGCAAGCUAAACUACAUAUACAAACCAUCACUUCAAGAAACAAACGUUCAGAAUUUUGCAUCAACUUCAUUUUCAUAUAAAAGAGAGGACAUUAUUGGAGAUACAGAAUGAUAUCUACAACUUGGCUAGAGUGCAAGAGCAAGACUGAAUGAAAUGAUGAAACUUAAAUCAAUCCUCAUCGUACGAAACAUGGAAACUGGUAGUGCAGCCGGAUGCCUCAGGAUCCUCAGCCCCACAACAGUCGUAGAACUUGGCAGCGUAUGGCGGAUCGUUGGGUCCCAAUUCAUAGUACCUUCAAUCCAAUCAAGAAUAAUAAAACAUCGACCCAGUAAGGAAAGCUAGAAGCAUAGUUAUUGCAGACCAAGCUCUCUCUCCCAAUAUUUCUAGUCGACUGGAAAACAUUCACAGUUUUCCAUAACUAGUUCAUGAAAGAGACAAACAACAAUGGGACAUAUACACUUUCACUUGAUCAAUCCUUUUCAUCCGAUCUAUUAUCCAUUGAAUCUUCAAGCCCAAGAAGAAUAACUUGAGUAUGAGAAUAUAUGCUAUCGCACACCCACACCCCAUCCUAAACUCCUGAUUCCUGUCCGUGAAUUGUGAUAUGCAACCCGAAAUCGAAAUCGAAAUCCAAAUCGAAAUCCAAAUCCAAAUCCAAAGGGGGAAGAAAGUAGGUAAACCCACAUGAAUCAGAAACACAGAUUAUGCAAAUUGGCAUCCACUAGUUAGUUAAACAAAGACAAAAUUUCUCACUCCAACCAUCCACUGCACUAAUCAAAGAUCGAAACUCAACGAAAUUAAUUACUGUAAAAAAGAACUCAUUGGAAAGGGGGGGAGAGAGGGGUCAGAGCUGUACCUUUUCUGGUCGUCGUGACGGCGACAGACGAAGAAAGAAGGGUGGAAGCGGCAUGAGAGAGAGGUGUUAGAGGAGGCUCUGUAGCUUUCCUUGCACCUUUUGCAUACCUUUCCCUUAUCCUCCUCACUCCCACUCUUUUUCUCCAUCUCUCUCUAUUCUUUAGAUACGGUGGCAAAGAAAAUUGCAAACAAUUGAUAUGAAACCCGUUAAAGAAAUUUGCAAUAUAAGGAAAUUCCACACAUAAUGUCACUUAUUUUAUUGUUGCGAGCAAAAAUGCAUUAAUAAAAAAAAAUAAAUUCACUCACCAUCAAGUUGAAUAAUUUUGAUUUAAUUUAUUUGUUACAUAAAUCUUAAAAUUUAAAAUAAAUCUAAGGGUUGAUAUCACCACCACUUUAUAGUGGUAGGGCAAAAAUGCACUCAUGACAAAAUCCAAGUCUUCCAUCCAACCAAGGAAGAACGCAUAGCCGGCCACUUGGCCAAGCGUCCCAGCCAUCGUUUUAAUAUUUUCAUUAAAAAGAAAUCCCAUUACAAUUACGCAAAAUUAAGCUACUAUGUACUAUACAAUACAAGACAUAGUCCAGUGAGUGUACGCAUUACGAUAAAUGUAAAAUCUUGACAACAAAUAUGGAUCGCACUGAAUACACAUAAUUUAUUUUAUCAUCCUAACAGAAUUACAGAUAAAUUUUUUUUUUACUCUAGCUCAGUACCUACACCAACCAAGAAAGCAUAAAAAACACAGCAACAAGUGGCUUUUCUAAUAACCAAACAGCCCUACGAAAUGCAUUACUCAAACACAUAAAUAUGUAUACCACUACUACUAUGACAGCAGCACCCCUGCCCUUCCUUCAUAAACAUCUCUUUUGGACAAUAACAUUUAGACUAAAAAACGCUGCCCCAUUGCUCCGCUCCGCCAUUCAAAGGAAUGCAUCUAUAAGCCUGCAAAACGCUAGCAUACCUGGCACCUAGGAAAAGCCUUUGGAUACAUAGCAGUGCAUUUUUGGUGACCUCGGCACUCUCAUGAUUCAUCAGUUUUAUCACACGUUCCUUGGCCUUGAGGUCCGUCCCUAUGCUACUUCCAGCCGGACGCUGCUGGACAAACACUGAGAUAUCAAAGCAGGCUACGGCCAAUGCCCUAGGAUCACUGGAUGUAUCCAAGAUAGUAAUCAGGACUCUUAGAAUCUGCAAGACAAGGUCAUGCAUUAUUAGUACUACGGAAGCCACAAGCUUAUUCAAAAGAUUACUCAAGAGUCAACAGCAUUGGGAUCUGCAAUUACUUUCACCAUAUAAUUUAAUACUGCCUUCAUAACCAAGUAAAUGGACCCAAUUUACUACCACUUUUCCAUGGAAUGGAAGCCAACACUGUCUUGGAAAAAGAGAGCUAUCCAGGAAAUCACAAACAAAACACAAGAACCACCUUGAGUAGCUACCACCAAGUUACUUUCACCAACACUUUCUGGAUGAUCUACUUCAGACCCUCUUCCAGUUGAUUUAAUCCCUCCAGGAGAUCCCACAAGAAGCUUCAUUUCAUUAGGGAAACUACACCAAUGAUUUAUGGUUUAAAAGAACGCAUGUACAAGAACAACAAUAGCUCCAUGAGCUAGUUGGUUCCUUUCAUUUAACUUGUUAUACUAAGUUAGCUUAAAUGCCUUACUUCCAGUCCGACCACAUAAAAUACAAACUAUCAAAAGAGGCAUACAGCCUAUUGGUUUCCCACCUCCUCACUCCAUGCUUGUGCUUUCAAAUUCUGAAUGAUUUGUGGCAGUCCAAGGUCCACCAUUUGAGCGCCAAAUGUCCCUUUUGAGAGCAAGUUCCUCAGGGUCAAAACAACAACUCUGACAACCUACCAUGAAUAACCAACCCAUAUUACAAAUAAAAGAUGAAUUUACAUGUACUCCACUGUUACAAGGAUAAGUUUAACAUGGACAAGUAUACACAAAUUAAUUUACACAUGUUAAUCUCGAAGGAAACAAUAUAGCAUCCCAAAAGUCAAGAUCCUCACCUUCUCCUUUGUGGAAUUCUUGACAACUUCUAUGAUUCUUGGAAGAGUUCUAGAAGUAGCUAGAUGCAUAAACAUGUUUCAUAAAAAAGCUGUUUGAGACAAAAUAUAUUGUCAAUAAAAAUUUCACAAAGUCAAGAAACUAAGAGUCACCUAAAUAGAUUGUUGGGUGGAAGCCGGAGAAAUUAAGGGAACAAGCAACCUCACCCAUCUAACUGAACAAAGGAAAAUUUAAGGUUCCUUUAGUAAGGCUGCAAGGCAAUUGAUGGCAGUUGGGAUACCACGACAGGGAUGGGAAGGCUUCUUCAACUGCAAAUUACAUAUACCAUAAAAAGCAUGCUUAGACAACCAAUAUCAUCCAAACUGAAAACCACCAAGUGAUAGCUGCGAUAUCAACAGAAUAACUGAUUGAAUUCGAGGAAAUGUAGAAACCACUGGUCAAACAACUUUUUAAGUACUCUAUUUCCUAGGCACCGAAAAUGAAAGAGUAACCCAGUUGCAUUUAGUAGAAUGUGUAACCCGAAGCUGAAAGCAUACCCGUGCACAAAGCCAUUCCACCAAUCCAGGAGUUCAAUAAUAUCAAAUACGGAGGGGUGAUUGAUCAAAGCAAAAGAUACAAGUUCAUGUCCACACCACUCCUUGGGACAAAUAACAAAUAACAAUGAUAUAUUUAUGUUUUUUUUAUAUAUCUCCAUUUGAAACAGAUGAAAGCACAUCAAGAUACAAGUUCAUGUUACCACUCCUUCCACAAUAUCUAUGUAAGAUUGUAGAAGGGAGAAGGAAUAACCAAAUGAAAGUCCCAUCACAUACAAGAUACUGCCCAGAUCGGAAAUCAAAUAUUAAAAAUAAAAAACCCUAAACAUAAUACAAACUUUUUCAUUCUUAACCUAUUCUGAAAAUCAGCACCAAAAAAUGAAAAUCAAACCCAUGAAACAAUUUCCAGUGAAUUAACCUGCCUUCUGCCUUCUAGCUGAGCACAAUUCAUGCAACAACCUUCUCUACUUCUGGUUGUUGCUUGUGCCCUUCUUCUUCAGUAGGCUUCCGAACUUGCGGAGUAAAGGCUUCUUCUUCUUCUGUUGCUUUGAUGGAGAGGUCCUGCUUUCGUCCACACAUUCCGUUGAAGUUACUCCAUUUAUCUCAUCAAACCCCUCGCCACCCCCCACCUUUGACUCCACUUCCUCUUCAAACGAUUCCUGCUCUUGUUCCCUCUCCAGCGAGAAUUCCUUCUUUUCAAUCUUGCAGCUCUCCCACAUCUUAUACUCCACCUCUACUGAUUCAUCUUCCUUCUCUUUGCUCUCAUCUUCUUUUGGUUUGCCCUUCACAUUAUCACUUUUAGCGUAGUCCAUUUCCUCAGCCUUGCCAUUAAUGACAACAUUAUUAUUCUCUUCCCAUAAGCUUUCCUUCUUGUGCUCCUCACCUUGACUUGGUGCAAGGUCCAUUUUCUGUUUCUCUUCUCCUCCAUGCCCAUUCUCUUCAGAGAAUUCAACUACCUUUGGAAGCAAAUCAUAGUCUUUCUCACUAUCUGUCAGCUCACCAUUUUCCUUGGCUCGCUUCUUCGCUACAGCUUCUUCCAGUAACCUAGACAAUUCCCCAACCUUUUUAAGAGAAGCUGCCUCCUUGUCUUGGAGUUCAUCGUUUUCGUGAACAAUACACUGGAACUCAUUUUCUUUGUCCAAUAUGCUUUCCUUUAAUUUCAUGUUCUCGGCCUUUGCUUCUGCAAGAGCUUCCUGCAAAUAGAUCACUUCAGAUUCAACUUCGUUCAGACUCUCUUUCAACUGGGCUUCUUCGUCCUUCAAAGCACAAGCUUCUUCAUUGGAUUUUGUGAGCAAAUUUUGCAGCCUGCUUAUUUCUUUUUCCUUCAAAGAGUUUUCUUCUUCUGAAUGUUUCACCCAAUUCGCCAGGUGAAGUUCUCUCUUCUCCCAGUCGGCCUUUGCGUUUUGGAAUUCAGUCUUGCAUUGUUCAAGGUUACUUGUAACAAGAUAGACUUCGUGUUUUGCAUCAUCAAGCAUGCCUUCAUACUUUUCGUUGGUUGCUUUCAAGACCAUUUUCAGGUCUUCUAUCUGCGACUUGUUACUCUCAAGCUCAGCUUGAUUAGACAGCAGCUUUUCUUUGGCUUCUCUUGCUUCUGCG